AGGGCUACCCGCUGAACUUAAGCAUAUCAAUAAGCGGAGGAAAAGAAACUAACUAGGAUUCCCUUAGUAACGGCGAGUGAACCGGGAUGAGCUCAAAUUUAAAAUCUGGCGUCUUUCAGGCGUCCGAGUUGUAAUCUAUAGAGGCGUUUUCCGCGCCGGACCGCGUCCAAGUCUCUUGGAAUAGAGUAUCAAAGAGGGUGACAAUCCCGUACUUGACGCGACAACCGGUGCUCUGUGAUACGUUCUCAAUGAGUCGAGUUGUUUGGGAAUGCAGCUCUAAAUGGGUGGUAAAUUCCAUCUAAGGCUAAAUAUUGGCGAGAGACCGAUAGCGAACAAGUACCGUGAGGGAAAGAUGAAAAGCACUUUGGAAAGAGAGUUAAACAGCACGUGAAAUUGUUAAAAGGGAAACGAUUGAAGUCAGUCGUGUGAAAGGUAUUCAGCCGUCUCUGGCGGUGUAUUUGCCUUUCACGGGUCAACAUCAGUUUGAUCCGGUAGAAAAAGGCGGGAGGAAGGUGGCACCCUCGGGUGUGUUAUAGCCUCCUGUCAUAUGUGCCGGACCAGACUGAGGAACGCAGCUUGCCGCAAGGCCGGGGUUCGCCCA
rnacentral:sRNA from 1 species